rnacentral:rRNA from 1 species
UACGUAGGUGGCGAGCGUUGUCCGGAUUUACUGGGCGUAAAGAGCGCGCAGGCGGUCGUUCAAGUCGCGUGUGAAAGCCCCCGGCUCAACUGGGGAGGGUCACGCGAUACUGAUCGACUCGAAGGCAGGAGAGGGAAGUGGAAUUCCCGGUGUAGUGGUGAAAUGCGCAGAUAUCAGGAGGAACACCGGUGGCGAAGGCGGGUCUCUGGGCCGAUACUGACGCUGAGGAGCGAAAGCGUGGGGAGCAAACAGG